UUCUCUUGAUACAGGCGUUGCGAUUGCAGUUACGUGAAAUAACUUGUCGCUUUUCGGUCUGAGUGUUAAAGCCACACGGAAAAAUGGAAAGUAAUAUUCUGGCCCUGUCGUGUCCCUCUGUGCCUUCGUUUGAGAAAAGAUGAGGGACUCAUUCAGCACCUCAGCCUCUGCAAUCAAAACCAACUGACCUAGAACCCAAUGGCGUCCUCCUGGUGAAUGGUGCCCUCAAUCACCGUAUCUGUGGUUUGCCUGGAGCACUUGCGGCUCCCUUUCAUGCUUUUCAGAUUUUGUGAUACAUGCUUUUGGAACUUCUUGGUGAGGAAGCAGUAGAUGACUGGGUCCAACACGCAGUUCAUACUCAGGAGGCACAAAGUCACCUGGUGAGCAUCGUUGAGCUGCUGGCGCAAGCGACAGUUUUCCUUCUUCCAUUGCUCCAGAACAGUCAGUGUCCAGGGCAGGUCCACAACGUGAUGAGGCACAAAGCUGAUGAUGAACACAACCAGCACAGUGCAGACCAUCCAGAGCGCCCUUUGCUUUACGUGAGCGUUCUUCCGCUGCUGCCCUGAUUUGGAGAACAGGGUCCUGAUAAUGAUGAUGUUCCAAGCUAGGAUAAAUAGGAAAAUGAUGUAGAAAAGGGUGCAGAUGAUGACAUGAAUGGCAAGAACUGGUGUAACAUUGCCAGUAGAGUCAUAGCGCUCAAAGCAACGUGUAUAAUUAUUUGAGCCAAUUUUCUCCACAUUCGUAUUAUCAUCAAAAAGAUAAUACAAAGCACUGCCCACUGUUAUGAUCCAGAUGGCUGCUGAGAGAAAGAUACCCCUUCUUUGGGUGGUAAACUGAGCUGCUCUAAUGGGAUUCGUCACAGCUUGGUAACGGUUGUAUGUAAUGACCAUCAGGAAGGCAACAGAAGCGUAGGUGUUCACGAAAAAGAAACAGCCAGCCACAUUACAGAGGAUCUUGGGCAUGAUCCAGUCCCCGUGGUGGUGAUAGUAAACAAUCCACAGUGGCAUUGUAACCAGGAAGAGCAGGUCAGCUACUGUCAGGUUCAGCAUAAAUAUCUUGAUUUCAUUGAGCUUCUUGGUGGAGUAAAUACGGCUGAAAAUCCAGAGCACGUAGCAGUUGGCGACAAAGCCCAGAAUGAAAAUGAUGCUGUAGAAAACAGUGAAGAGGCUGUAGCGAAACUCAGAGUCUAUUGGGCACACAUUGCCUGCAGCAUCAUCUUUGCCCUCUCCAGACAUCGUGCUGUUGAGUGGAGACGUGAACCACGUGAACCACGAUUUCCUGCUGUAGCUUUUCUUCUUGCCUGAAAAUAAGAAGCAUAAAAUGAGCUGAUUGGUGUUGUGCCACUACUAAGCCAAAGCCCAGCUUUCAACUUUGGCUGUCUGGAACCACAGGUGUUUUGCCUUGUGCCCUCGUUCAAGGCUCAGGCACCUGCUCUGCCCCCUUGGGUCCUGCCAUCAAUCCCAUUUCCACACCAUACUUUCCUCUGGGUCUUCAUCCAGUGUUUUUUGCUACAGUGCUGAUCUCAGAUCACCAGUCUCAAAAGACUUCUACAUGAAGGUUCAUAUAACAGGUGCCUUAUGGACAUGACAACUCUGGAUGCCCAUGACCUGCCCUGGGUCCUUCCCAUUGCUGCUGGCUGCUCUGCUCCCUGUUCUGAUUUAUGCAAGGCUCAAGGCAAGUCCUGUGUUGUCUCAUGGCUCCAUUUCUGCACCCUCAUUUAUAGGUGAAAAUUGCUGUCCCGCUCAAUGGGAACCCAGCCCAGGUAAAGACAUGAGACAAUUGGGAGGGCUGGCAUCCCUGGUCAGGGGGCAGCAGGCACAGACACUUCAGGCAAGGGGUGAAGAGAGACUCAUGGGGACCUCUGUGCUCGAUAUGCACUCUUCUAAUGGCAGAAUAAGAAGUAAAGUAAAGUCUUAAUUACCUAAGAUCAUUAGAGACCUCAUGGUUGCUUCAAAUCUAUAUCUUAAAUUCACUUUUCUGACUGGCUGCCACCUUCAGCAAAUAGUUCUGCUAUUUGGCACUGGGAUCUUUGACGUAACCCACAGUCAAUUUGGGCUCUGCCGCAGUGAAAUCCCUCCACCCCUGCAUGUCUGCUGCUGCACACUGGGGCUCUAUGAACUUCCCUGCUGUCUUUUUCCAGACCUGCCCCCAGCUGCUGGAUUGAGCAGACAGGUGCUAAGGAAGUUAAAGCUGUGCAUCCCCCACCUGCAAAGCCCUGCACCCAAGGAAGACAGGUUUGGGCUGACGGGGCUGCACUCUGACUGGAGAGAUGAAUGCAAGGAUGUGCUCUAAGUUGUUAUCUGUGCUCUGGCAAAGGAGCAAGAUGGGCGGUAGGAGAGGACGAUGCCUUCUACAGCUCUGGCAGGGCUUGGUCAAACUCAUCUACCUUGGCAGUAGUUGGCUGUGCAGAGCCAAUGCUGAGGUCCUCCAGGGAAUCUCAAGAGAGUUUUUGCCUUCUUGUUUGCCAACUCAGAUGUUCCACAUCAUGUAACUAGUUGAGAGCGUGGCACCACUCCCCUCCAAACUUACUCAACACCAGUUUUACUCUUCAGCCACAGCAACCAUAUGGUCAUCCCACUCAGUCUCUCCUCUCGAGGCAGUUCCCCUUUAUAUAAAACACAAACGUUCUCUGUGCCAGCACGAGGGAAAAGUGGUGGUCGAGUCCAGGCUGACAACUGUGGGUCCCAUUCCCAGUUGCACCAGGCUGCACUGUGUUACCACAUCCCUGGUAGCUGUAGCCCAAAGCCACUGCCCAGUACAUUUGUGCACCAGCUGAUAAUCCCCAGAGCUUCCUAUCAUCAGGUCUACCGUGUGCAGAACUAGAGGCGAAGUCACCAGCUGCACAGGAGAGCGGCUGGGAUAAACGCAGACUCUGGUCCCAGUCUCUCCAAUGGGCCAUGCUCUCCCAGUAAGGAUUCGCUGGCUGAUGGCUACAACAUGAGAAAAACAUCUUUCAGCAGGAAUAGCAUCAAGAAAAUCGCUUUUGUGCCUUACCACAAAGGGAUUCAGUGCAAUAUGUCCAUCUUCAGCUCUAAUGGAGAUCGUGUCUUACUGAGGCUGCUCAAUCCUCUUCUCAGUGUUACAUUCUCCGACCACAGUCUGAAAGGUCUCCCCAAGGGCAGCUCUCAAGGAGAGGACACCAGAAUGGGAGCAACUGCAGCAUGAGUGCAGAGUCACUAGAGAAGAGGAAAUGUGUGACAUCAGCUCAAAGGAAAUGAGAAAUAAAAUAGCCUUGUAGAGGAAAGCAAUCAACCGCAGCAAAGAUCUGGAAAGUCCUUAGAGCUGUUUCCUCAAAACAUCUUCUGAUUAUCCCGAAAGAAGGCAGAGUUGGAAUUUUCCUUUAAAUGCAGAACAGGAAUCCACUCUUUGUCCCUGGGAUCAGAUAGCAUUUGAACAUCCUUCUCCUAAAUAGAUGAAUGGCAGAAGCCAGAAGAGUUUUGACCCAAUAACUCAAAGAAAAGAAAGUGCCAGGAGACUCAUAUACCUCACAGACAGACUCAUUAGCAGAGUCUCCUUCACAUUUGUGUUCGGUGCAAACAGACCCAGGAAUAUUGCCAUGCCACAUCUCCUUUCAUCUCAGGGGCUUUCAGCAGGCACUGGGACACAGCAGCAUGUCAGAUCUUCUGGAUCAGUGGCCAUCACAUUCUGACCGCCACGACUGCGGCAGCCUGAGGAGCACUCAUCACAGGGAUGCAAAUUGAUGCGGUGCUCAGGGGGAUGCCAGCGAUAAGCAAAGCUGCAGGUACGGCCCCAGCUAGGCCAGCAUGUUCCAAAUGCAGCCCCCAUGCUGGGGGCUACUCUGCCCUCCAUGCGAGAGGCACCAGCAGUGCUGUGAAGGUGAACCAAAGACCCCGAUCCUCCUCGGAACGGCCAGAGCCCCAUUUGUGCCCUGCCCGUGACAGCGAUUCUGGGAACUUAAAUUAAAAACAAAUUAAAAGCACUCCAGGGAGGCUGGCUGGCAACUGGGCUGUGGCUUUGGACAGAGCAGGCGGUGAGGAUAUCUUGUCACAGGGGGAAGGGGACCAUUAGCAAAGGCAGCAAAGCUGCAAAACAAAGUGUGCCGUCCUGCACAGCCAAGUUCUUAGAGGAAAUGAAAGCCCAAGAGGUCUGGGGCUGGGGAGGAGUUCUGGUCAGAAAUCACACCCUGCUCUUCUGGGACUGCGCCGCUGCUGUUUCUGAGUGUGUGACAUGGAAUCCAGCCUUUGAAUGCAUGGUGCUUUCAGGAGCCCAACUUACAGAGCAGCCCGGGUCUUCCAGCCCUGGGGAAGCACACAAAGUCUGCCUGCACUGAAUGCCAUCUUGAACAUGCCUUUAGUUUUAUUAAAAAAAGAAA